AAACCAGCACCUCAAGUGGUCAGGAUGAUUAUUGGGCCUAAAGCAUCCGUAGCCUGCUCUGUAAGUUUUCGGUUAAAUCUGUACGCUUAACGUACAGGCUGCCGGAAAUACUGCAGAGCUAGGGAGUGGGAGAGGUAGACGGUACUCGGGAGGAAGUGGUAAAAUGCUUUGAUCUCUCGAUGACCACCUGUGGCGAAGGCGGUCUACCAGAACACGUCCGACGGUGAGGGAUGAAAGCUGGGGGAGCAAACCGGAUUAGAAACCCGAGUAGUCC
rnacentral:rRNA from 1 species